UGAGUACGAGAUGCUACGGCAUCGAAGCAGUCUAUGUCAUACUUCCAAGAAAAGCUUCACUGUCAUAAACAAAGAAUGCCUGUACCAUAACCGACACAGGUGGGUAGGUAGAGUAUACUAAGGGGCGCGAGAUAACUCUCUCUAAGGAACUCGGCAAAAUGACUCCGUAACUUCGGGAGAAGGAGUGCCUUAUUUCUAAGGUUGCAAUAACAAGAUCCAAGCAACUGUUUGCCAAAAACACAGGUCUCCGCUAAGUCGUAAGACGAUGUAUGGGGGCUGACGCCUGCCCAGUGCCAGAAGGUUAAAGAAGUUGGUUAGCAUUAGCGAAGCUGAUAACUGAAGCCCUGGUGAACGGCGGCCGUAACCAUAACGGUCCUAAGGUAGCGAAAUUCCUUGUCGGGUAAGUUCCGACCCGCACGAAAGGCGUAAUGAUUUGGAUACUGUCUCGGAGAGGGGCUCGGUGAAAUAGACUUGUCUGUGAAGAUGCGGACUACCUGCACCUGGACAGAAAGACCCUAUGAAGCUUUACUGUAACUUGAGAUUGAAAUUGGACUUUAUUUGCGCAGUAUAGGUGGGAGGCGUUGAGAAUAAUCUUGCGGGAUUGUUGGAGCCAUCAGUGAGAUACCACUCUUGUAAUGUUAGAUUUCUAACUUUGUAUCAUUAUCUGGUCAAAGAACAGUUUCAGGCGGGCAGUUUGACUGGGGCGGUCGCCUCCCAAAGGGUAACGGAGGCGCACAAAGGUUUCCUCUGAACGGGUAGAAAUCGUAUCUAGAGUGUAAAGGCAUAAGGAAGCUUGACUGUGAGACCUACAAGUCGAGCAGGGACGAAAGUCGGUCUUAGUGAUCUGACGGUGCUGAGUGGAAAGGCCGUCACUCAACGGAUAAAAGUUACUCUAGGAUAACAGGCUGAUCUCCCCCAAGAGUUCACAUCGACGGGGAGGUUUGGCACCUCGAUGUCGGCUCAUCGCAUCCUGGGGCGGUAGUCCGUCCCAAGGGUUGGGCUGUUCGCCCAUGAAAGCGGUACGCGAGCUGGGUUCAGAACGUCGUGAGACAGUUCGGUCCAUAUCCGGUGUAGGCGUUAGAAUAUUGAGAGGAGCCUUCUCUAGUACGAGAGGACCGAGAAGGACAUACCUCUGGUGUACCAGUUAUCGUGCCAACGGUAAACGCUGGGUAGCUAUGUAUGGAGUGGAUAACCGCUGAAAGCAUCUAAGUGGGAAGCCCACCUCAAGAUAAGUAUUCUC
rnacentral:rRNA from 1 species